UGGGUUUGAACGAAUUUUAAAUAAACCUGUAAGUUUCCAACCCGGUUUUUUUUCGUAAGCGAGUUGGGGGAGGGAAGUGCUGUUCAAGUAAACAAGUUUUAGAAAAAUCAGAGUCAGCCAGGGCUUGUGAAACAGUGAGGGCUGAAGAUUUACAUUGGAAUUGGUAGAGGGACAAAAUCUAAGAUUUACAGUGUAAAAAUUAUUGCUCUCGAUAAUUUCUUAAUGGAGCAAUAACAGCUGAAAGUCAAAAUUUCACCAUAUCUCGUAACGAAGUGCUAUU